rnacentral:lncRNA from 1 species
UCUUUGUGUAAUCAUACGUUUUUUGAUUGAGUUAAGUCUGCUAAUUGAUAUUUUAUCGUAUGUUUUUAUAUGUUGUGAUGUUAUGCUAUUGUUUCAGAAAUAGGGAGAAGGUUUGGGCCCAUUAAAACGUUUAAUCCCGCUGCAAAUGUUUGCACCUGUCCUAAGUCAGGAAUCUGAUGUACAGUAGUUGUCGUUUGUUUAUGUAACAUAUACGUGCUUCUCGUUUCUCGUUUUGUUUAUAUAGAUUAGACCGUUGGUUUUCCCGUUUGAAUGGUUUUACACUAGUAAUUUUGGGGCCCUUUAUAGCUUGUUGUUCGGUGUGAGCCAAGGCUCCGU